CCCUUAGAUGUUCUGGGCCGCACGCGCGCUACACUGAUGCAUUCAACGAGUCUAAAACCUGCUCUGAUAGGGGUGGGUAAUCUUUUGAAUGUGCAUCGUGAUUGGGAUAGAUGAUUGCAAUUUUUCGUCUUCAACGAGGAAUGCCUAGUAAACGCAAGUCAUCAGCUUGCAUUGAUUACGUCCCUGCCCUUUGUACACACCGCCCGUCGCUCCUACCGAUUGAAUGAUCCGAUGAAUAUCAUGGAUUGAGGAUGCAAGUAGGUUAGCCUAUCUUCAUCUUCGAGAAGUGAAGUAAAUCUUAUCAUUUAGAGGAAGGAGAAGUCGUAACA
rnacentral:rRNA from 1 species